GCUUUUGUAGUCCAACGGUUAGGAUAAUUAUCUUCCAAGCAAUAGACUCGGGUUCAACUCCCGGCAAUUGCA
rfam:Gossypium hirsutum cultivar TM-1 chromosome 8, whole genome shotgun sequence